CACGACGAUAGAGGGCGACAGAUAAUUUGCCUAAUUUUUAUCUCCACCGAAAACGGUGCGCUUUUCAAAUUUCCUUGUGAAUUGGGCUUCCUUAACUUGCACAAAUGAGAACUUUUCACAUGUUGUCAGCGGGAAAAUGCCGACUAUUUAAACGAAUCAAUUCUUUUUAUUCGUUAUGAUAUCUCCUAUACAUCUAUAAACUGUAGAUGAAGCGAAGUUUUACCUGGAUUCUGAUUGCCGAUUGCAUGAAAUUGACUCGUCCUUCAUCCUUGUGCCCCACCUGUUAAAAUUGAUCAGUAGGCCAAGUCCAAGGUGAUGGAGGAUAUACUAACAUUUGGAGCUUACAGGGCCAUCAUGGACGAUGACCAAUCAUCAUGCGUUAAGUCAUGCAUAGAGUCAUGUGUAACUUUGCAAACAGCUUUAUGAAACACCGACCUGAGUAAUCUUUCAACCAAUCACAGAUGGAUAGCGACAACCAAGAAGGAGAUGGAGGAUUAAGACAAGGAGCUUACGGGCCAUCAUGGACAGUGACAACCAAUCAUCACAGUUCUUCGCUGAAGCCAUUGACCAGAUCCUGCAAAGGCAUAUGAAAGUCAUCAAGCACAAGCCUGGAAGGGAUCAUCUUUAGCAAAGGGAAGCUCAAAAAGAGAUUCUGAUCACACCAAAUGACCCAGGUCAAGGUAGUUGAUCCUAUUCUGGUUUUAAGGAAGGCAAAGAGAACGGUCAUUGAGCUAGAAACAGGCAAGACCAAUUGCUUUGGAGGCAUGGAUGAGGUCCUUGACAUGACCUCUGAUGAGAGCGAGUAUGAGCAUCCUACCAAGCCUCAAACACCACCACAUGAAGAUUAAAGAAAAGAGAGAGCCCUCACAGAGACCACCUAAGAAACAGAUGCCCUCUGGAUGGACUCGUCUGGAAUGCUUCAGGAUGGAGAAGGGAUUGUUGACAUUUGGCCAUAUGACAAGGCUGAGAAUCCUGGAAGAGAGACAAACGGAUUCUGACCUGCCAGUUGCAAAACCUGAUGGACCUAUCAACAACGAAACAGAGGAUAAGGAGACGGUUUCAUAUUUGCAAUUGAUUGCAAACUUUAACGUUACACUGCCCAGGGGCCCGUUUCAUA